UGGGACGUCUCAAAUGUUCCUGUCAGUGC
rnacentral:piRNA from 1 species